AGUCUCUCUACUUUUUCUCUGGAUGACCCCUCUCUUGAUAAGAAGUGUAUCCCAAGACAUGGGAGACUCAGCAACCAUACAGCUCAUAGAUGGUCAUCCUGAGACACAGGAGCCCAGCAACAACACAGCACUAAGAGGAGCUUUCUCAGCAAAGCAUUGCAGCUCCCAGUGAGACACUCACACCAGGCAGGAGGGAGCAGACAACAUGGAACUGGACAACGUGCAGUGCUUAUAUAAGUGUCUUGCAUGAUGGAGCUUUCUGGGUGAAGAUUUCCAGGAUGAGGAAAGGAUUGGUGGGAUUUCAGGCUCUGUCCAAUGGUCCACUACCACAGGGUCCCAUGGAAACUGUGAAACAACCCAGAUUAUUGGUGAUGCUCCAAAAACUGAGGGUGUCUCUCCAAAAAGGAACUGAAAACAACUAUAAAGCUCAUUGACUCCGGAGAACAUGAGCUUGUUCCUACCUAGAACCAUCACCCCAUUGACUAGUUUUUAUGAUACUAGAAGAUAGUCCAAAUGAGAAAGAUAAAAACCAACCCAGAUAUAAAUCUGUUCAUCUA